rnacentral:rRNA from 1 species
AUUGAACGCUGGCGGCAGGCCUAACACAUGCAAGUCGAGCGGAGCGGCGGACGGGUGAGUAAUGCCUAGGAAUCUGCCUGGUAGUGGGGGAUAACGUCCGGAAACGGGCGCUAAUACCGCAUACUAUCAGAUGAGCCUAGGUCGGAGUAGCUAGUUGGUGGGGUAAAGGCUUACCAAGGCGACGAUCCGUAACUGGUCUGAGAGGAUGAUCAGUCACACUGGGACGGAGACACGGUCCAGACGCCUACGGGAGGCAGCAGUGGGGAAUAUUGGACAAUGGGCGAAAGCCUGACCCAGCCAUGCCGCGUGUUGGAAGAAGGUCUUCGGAUUGUAAAGCUCUUUAAGUUGGGAGGCGGUACCUACAGAAUAAGCACCGGCUAACUACGUGCCAGCAGCCGCGGUAAUUC